rnacentral:rRNA from 1 species
AUUGAACGCUGGCGGCAGGCCUAACACAUGCAAGUCGAACGAGUGGCGGACGGGUUAGUAAUGUCUGGGCAACUUCCUGAGGGAGGGCGAUAAGUACCGGACACUAUAGCUAAUACCGCAUUCAAGCAGAUGUGCCCAGGUGGGAUUAGCUUGUUGGUGGGGUAACGGCUGACCAAGGCGACGAUCCGUACCUGGUCUGAGAGGAUGACCAGCCAAACUGGAACUGAGACACGGUCCAGACUCCUACGGGAGGCAGCAGUGGGGAAUAUUGGACAAUGGGCGAAAGCCUGAUGCAGCCAUGCCGCGUGUAUGAAGAAGGCCUUCGGGUUGUAAAGUACUUUAAGCUGGGAGGCGUUACCCACAGAAGAAGCACCGGCUAACUCCGUGCCAGCAGCCGCGGUAAUAC